CUUUCUGAUUUGACCCUUAAAGUGACCCU
rnacentral:piRNA from 1 species